rnacentral:tRNA from 3 species
UGGGGUAUGGCCAAGCGGUAAGGCACAGCACUUUGACUGCUGAACUGUGUCGGUUCGAAUCCGACUGCCCCAG